UCCGUAGGUGAACCUGCGGAAGGAUCAUUACCACACCUAAAAACUUUCCACGUGAACCGUAUCAAAACUUAGUUGGGGGUCUCUUUCGGCGGCGGCUGCUGGCUUCAUUGCUGGCGGCUGCUGUUGGGAGAGCUCUAUCAUGGCGAGCGUUUGGGCUUCGGUCUGAACUAGUAGCUUUUUUAAACCCAUUCUUUAUAACUGAUUAUACUGUAGGGACGAAAGUCUCUGCUUUUAACUAGAUAGCAACUUUCAGCAGUGGAUGUCUAGGCUCGCACAUCGAUGAAGAACGCUGCGAACUUGCGAUACGUAAUGCGAAUUGCAGGAUUCAGUGAGUCAUCGAAAUUUUGAACGCAUAUUGCACUUCCGGGUAGUCCUGGGAGUAUGCCUGUAUCAGUGUCCGUACAUCAAACUUGGUUUUCUUCCUUCCGUGUAGUCGGUGGUGGAUGUGCCAGAUGUGAAGUGUCUUGCGGCUGGUCUUCGGAUCGGCUGUGAGUCCUUUGAAAUGUACUGAACUGUACUUCUCUUUGCUCCAAAAGCGUGGCGUUGCUGAUUGUGGAGGCUGCUUGCGUAGCCAGUCUGGCGACCAGUUUGUCUGCUGUGGCGUUAAUGGAGGAGUGUUCGAUUCGCGGUAUGGUUGGCUUCGGCUGAACAGACGCUUAAUUGAAUAUUUCUUCAGCUGUGGUGGUAUGAUUGGUGAACCGUAGCUAUGUGAGCUUGGCUUUUGAAUUGGCUUUGCUGUUGCGAAGUAGAGUGGCGGCUUCGGCUGUCGAGGGUCGAUCCAUUUGGGAACUUGUGUAUGCUUCGGCAUGCAUCUCAAUUGGACCUGAUAUCAGGCAAGAUUACCCGCUGAACUUAAGCAUAUCAAUAAGCGGAGGAA
rnacentral:misc_RNA from 1 species